rnacentral:rRNA from 1 species
CUCGAACCAUUAUGAGAGGUACAGCCUGCCCAGUGACCUAGUGUUCAACGGCCGCGGUAUCCUAACCGUGCGAAGGUAGCGUAAUCACUUGUUCUUUAAAUGAGGACUAGUAUGAAUGGCAUCACGAGGGUUAUUCUGUCUCCUUUUUCCAAUCAGUGAAACUAAUCUCUCCGUGAAGAAGCGAGGAUUAUUUUAUAAGACGAGAAGACCCUAUGGAGCUUUAAACUAACCAGCAUUUGCUAUAUAACAUAAUUUUUCAGAAACCUAAAAAACAACUUAGCUUUUUGACUGUAAGUUUUCGAUUGGGGUGAUUACGGAACAAAAUAUAACCUCCGUGCCGAAAGGACUUUUCCUGAGCCAAAAGUGACAACCUUAAGCACUAAAAAAUUAACGAUUAUUGACCCAAUAAUUUGAUCAACGAAC